UUAGCUUCUCUUCGCCGUUUGGCUUAGAUCAAAGUGUAGUAUCUGUUCUUGGAAGAGUGAUAUCUUCUAUCCAGUCCCUCGCGGCUGGGAGUCAAUAUCAUUUUAUUUUUGUCAGUUAUCCCACGCUUGUCUCUUGACUUGUCAGGACCGCGGGGACCGAGUGGCUGGGUAUUACACUGCUUCCCAGACGCUUAAUAUCUU
rnacentral:snRNA from 1 species